AACAAAUUGGCAAAGCAAUGUGAUGGGUAAAUAUCAGUUAAAGUAAGUUGUACUUACAAACUUUAUUGCAUUUUUACAGACAAUUCAUCAAUUAAAUUUUGUGUCAAGUUUUCUUUUAAUUCAAUAAUAAUUAAGGAAUACACAAAUGUAUUUGUAUCAUAAUAUGAAUACCAAUUACUUGUAAAUGCCAUUAAUGGUUUACAUAUUUUUUUCAGUACAUGCAUGAAGAUGACUUGGAGGCAAUGGUGUCAUACAUGUUAGUUUUAACUAUAAUAGCAUUACUGAAAUUUGAAAAAAAAGUUAUCAGAGGAAAAGAGUGACCACUUCUUUCUUAUGAAGAUCAACACACACAAGGAAAUUAUCAGACAAUUUGUAACCAGAUAUGGGUGCAGUUUUAGAUAUAUGCAUGAAAGAAAGUGAAAUCAAUGUUUUUUUUAGAUAAAAGCUUGAUGAUAUAACAAAAUUAUAACAGUGCUGAAUAUGAAAACCCCAUGCCAUAUCACAUGUAACUUAUGGAAUGCAGAGAUUUUCAGUAUUACAAUAAAAGGAAGGAUUUCAUUACUGUUAAAACUGACUCUGUAACAUUCAAGACAAAGAAAUAAAGAAAUAAAAACAUAAGAGGAAAUGACUGUGCACUUCUUUUUUGAAGGAUCAACACACAAAAGGAAAUGUUCAUAUCAUUAUGAAUCAUGUGCAGUAGUUGAGAUAAUUUUGGAUAUAUAUACAUAAAACUGUGAACUAAGUGAUAAUUAUAAUUCAAGAAUCAUAUGUGGUACCUUACUGGUAUAUAUAUUGUAAUUCACAACAUUUUACAUGGGAAUAUUCUUUGCAUGAUACAUGUGAAAUUAAAAAAGACAAGUAUAGGAAUAAAGAAUUAUCUAUUACAACAUUAUAAUAUGAAAACCAGCAGGAUGAGAUGUCUACAUUUAUUAUGGAUUAUGGAAACCCACAAGAAAGUAUUGUAUGGAUUGUAAUUAUCAGUUUUAAUUCAAUGUGACAUAUGCAAUGCUUUUUGUUUUAAUUUUGAGAAAACUAUUUGAAAUGAAUGAAAAAAAAUAAUCAUAAGUUUAUUUGACAUUGAAACUUUUGAAAUAGACAUAUAUGUAUUUAAUAGGCAGAUAUUACUCAUAAUGACCUCAAUGCUUUCACAUGCAUACAACUUUAUUGAAUAAACAAAUAUUUUUAUCUCAAGGAAAUUACUUUUUUUAAUGGUUUUUUUUCUAUAACAAUUUACUGUUUUAUACUGAAAAGACUGCAAUGAAUGAAUGAUGCAUGUUCAACAAAUGAACAUAGUACAAAUUCUUGCUUACAUGCAGCUGAUAAAAGACCCCUUCACACAUGUUAUGUGACAGUUAUUGAUCCUAAUAAUUCAGUGAACUAAUUAAAAAUGAUUUUAAAUAAAAACAUUUAAAAAACUUUAACAGGGCUGAGCAGAUUACUAUUUCUCAUAAAACAUGAGUUUGAUGGAAGGGGCUCCAUGCUACCAUGAACUGGUGCUUGUUAAAGUAUUUUUCCCUAUCAGGAGAAUCAUUUUAUUUUAGAAAUACUGGUUUGCCGUUCGUCAUCACGUUAUUUUACUCUCGAUUUUACUAUUUAUGUCAAACCUUGGUAAUGUAAAAGGCGUUAAGACCCAAUGAUAAUCAAAUUUAAGAAAAUAAGCAAGAUACUUUUAUUUACAAUCGACAAAUAUGACACACAUGUGCAGUUAGAAAUGAAAAUUGGGUUACGAAAGCUCUUUUAAAUACAACUACAAAGUAUAACGUUAGCGCAUCCCCCCUUUUUCUCUUCGUAUGCACGGUGAUACUUUAAAGAUGCAUAAACACCUCAAGAGUAAAAAUGAAAAAGAAUAACAUUAUUUUAUAUCUUUAAUGUGUCUAUUUCUAGUCAAAAUCUAUCAAAAGGUCGAUUAUUUUUUCCCCGGCAUUUUUACACCGAAAAGGGGAAUAAUCGAUCUGAAUCAAUUCAGUGUUUAAAUGUCGCCGCGUAAAGGACUUGAAUAUCAUUUAUCUAUAAAGAUCGCAUUGGCACACCCCGUUAACAUUUAUUGAACUCUUUAAAACUUGGCAUAUUUAUUCUUAGAAAGCUCAUGAAUACCAAGAUUGCUGUUUCUUGUUUUUAAAAUGAAUACAACAUUAUAAAAAUUGACAAGAUAGUUGACUUUUGGUGUGGCCACGGUUGGAUUGUAUGUCACUUCUGUUAUUGUUUUAUUAUAAAAGGGCACAUUUAAAGAAAGAAACAGCUGUUACGGGAAAGAUAGCAUCUUUGUCAACCAAAUACAACUUUAUUUUCAUUCAUUUGUCUAGUUCUUUGGGGUGUGCCAGGCUCUUGAAGUUGGACGUUCAAACGCAAUCUUUGAAUGCUGGCCGUUACCAUGGUAACCAGGUGGGGGGUUCUGAGACAACAGAAAUCAAAACUUCGGAUGAUAUUAGGGAUGAUAAAAAUAAGUUCUGGGUAAGAAAGUUUCUAUACUAAAAUUCUAAAUAAUUUCAAAUUUCAUUGAUUUUUAUAUGAAUAAAUAGCAGAUUUACUCCAGAACAGCAUUAACCUACCUGCGUUUGUUUGAUGA
rnacentral:lncRNA from 1 species